rnacentral:misc_RNA from 1 species
GUCCCUCUGGCUUUCUCAUUCUCUUGGAAAAUAAAUAAAUAAAUAAAAGCCCCAGAGUCCAGAGAGAUGUGCACUUCUCCCCUUCAAAUUCACUGAGAAAACUAUUCCUCAACGGCUCAACCAACGCAGCGUCGUUUACUUAGUCCUUAAUGCCGUGGUUCGCCCAACGAUUUCUUCUUGUCUCUCCUUUCUCAUUGUCACAGAGACGGACUCGGAGAGUCACGGCCGUUGCUUAGCCUCUCUUUCUUCGAUUCUUCCUUUCCACCUCUUUCCCUGAGUUUUUUUUUCUAUGUCUUGUUCUAUCGCUCUCUAUU